AGGGCUGGGGCUCAGUGAUAGAGCACUCAUCUCGCACGUGUGAGGCCCUGGGUUCGAUCCUCAGCACCACAU
rfam:Ictidomys tridecemlineatus contig061272, whole genome shotgun sequence.